GACGAACGCUGGCGGCGUGCUUAACACAUGCAAGUCGAACGGACAGGCCCUGCUUUUGUGGGGUGCUCGAGUGGCGAACGGGUGAGUAACACGUGAGUAACCUGCCCUUGACUUUGGGAUAACUUCAGGAAACUGGGGCUAAUACCGGAUAGGAGCUCCUGCUGCAUGGUGGGGGUUGGAAAGUUUCGGCGGUUGGGGCUGGACUCGCGGCUUAUCAGCUUGUUGGUGGGGUAGUGGCUUACCAAGGCUUUGACGGGUAGCCGGCCUGAGAGGGUGACCGGCCACAUUGGGACUGAGAGACGGCGCAGACUCCUACGGGAGGCAGCAGUGGGGAAUAUUGCACAAUGGGCGGAAGCCUGAUGCAGCAACGCCGCGUGCGGGAUGACGGCCUUCGGGUGGUAAACCGCUUUCGCCUGUGACGAAGCGUGAGUGACGGUAAUGGGUAAAGAAGCACCGGCUAACUACGUG
rnacentral:rRNA from 1 species